rnacentral:lncRNA from 1 species
UGAGUCAGAGGAGGAGGGUUGAUAUUGGGUAAUCAGAACAAAAUGAGCUGGAGGACCAGCCACCUGUUUAGUCGGAGUAAGAAUGCCUGCAGAGACCUGGACCGGAGUGGACAGAAAGGAGUCACCAUGAAUAUGUGCACCAAGGGAAUGAACACAUAAAUUAAAAGCAAACCCUGAAGCAAAAUUACUUGUCAUAUGCAUAUAUUUUAUUAUUCAUUGAAAGCGAGAAGAAUAAACUGAUAAGCUAUAGCUGCAUAACUGUCAACCCUACGUAAGUAUUUUCCCAAUUCACGUGGAAGUUUGAAAUAAUAAUAUGUAUCACAGAAAUACUAAUACAGCUUUUAUAGUGACAGCGAGGCAGUCUCAUCUAGCAGGCAGAUGCCUUAACUAGAAAAGACACUGAAUUGUGAUUCUGACCCUGCCACUAAUUAUGUGGAUGAGUUUGUGCAAGUCUGUUAACCACACCUGACCUUUUCUUUUUUAUUGGGGAAAUGAAAAAAGUUUAGAGUAGACAACUUUUAAGAUUUUCUGGUUCAAAAAUGUGCAUAAUUAUAUGCCAUGCACCCAGGUAUGCAAAAAAGUAAUGAUUAUUAUCUUUUAACUUUUUAUUUAGGGUACAUAUUCAGGUUUGUUAUAUAGGUAAAUUGCUUAUCACAGGGGUUUGCUGUGCAGAUUAUUUUGUCACUCUGGUGGUAAGCAUUGUACUGGAUAGGUAGAUUUUUCCAUCUCUGUCCCUCCUCCUGCCCUCCAUCCUCAAGUAGGCCCCACAAUCUGUUGUUCCCUUCUGUUUGUCCAUGUGUACUCAAUGUUUACUUCCCACUUAUAAGUGAGAACAUGCAGAUUCUGUUUCU